GAUGAACGCUGGCGGCGUGCCUAAUACAUGCCAGUCGAGCGAACAGACGAGGAGCUUGCUCCUCUGACGUUAGCGGCGGACGGGUGAGUAACACGUGGAUAACCUACCUAUAAGACUGGGAUAACUUCGGGAAACCGGAGCUAAUACCGGAUAAUAUAUUGAACCGCAUGGUUCAAUAGUGAAAGACGGUUUUGCUGUCACUUAUAGAUGGAUCCGCGCCGCAUUAGCUAGUUGGUAAGGUAACGGCUUACCAAGGCAACGAUGCGUAGCUGACCUGAGAGGGUGAUCGGCCACACUGGAACUGAGACACGGUCCAGACUCCUACGGGAGGCAGCAGUAGGGAAUCUUCCGCAAUGGGCGAAAGCUUGACGGAGCAACGCCGCGUGAGUGAUGAAGGUCUUCGGAUCGUAAAACUCUGUUAUUAGGGAAGAACAAAUGUGUAAGUAACUAUGCACGUCUUGACGGUACCUAAUCAGAAAGCCACGGCUAACUACGUG
rnacentral:rRNA from 1 species